CUACGGGUGGCACCAGUGGGGAAUAUUGGACAAUGGGGGAAACCCUGAUCCAGCAAUGCCGCGUGUGUGAAGAAGGCCUGCGGGUUGUAAAGCACUUUCGGUUGGGAGGACUGCUUCUAGCACUAAUAUUGUUGGAAGUUGACGUUACCUUCAGAAGAAGCACCGGCUAACUCGGUGCCAGCAGCCGCGGUAAUACGGAUGGUGCAAGCGUUAAUCGGAAUUACUGGGCGUAAAGCGCGCGUAGGCGGCUAGAUCAGUCGGGUGUGAAAGCCCCGGGCUUAACCUGGGAACUGCAUCCGGUACCGUCUAGCUUGAGUACAGGAGAGGAGAGUGGAAUUCCACAUGUAGCGGUGAAAUGCGUAGAUAUGUGGAGGAACACCAAUGGCGAAGGCAGCUCUCUGGCCUGAUACUGACGCUGAGGUGCGAAAGCGUGGGGAGCAAACAGGAUUAGAUACCCGCGUAGUC
rnacentral:rRNA from 1 species